GACGAGGGGUCCUAGCGUUGUUCGGAAUUAUUGGGCGUAAAGCGGACGUAGGCGGCCUAUUUAGUCAGACGUGAAAGCCCUGGGCUCAACCCAGGAAGUGCGUUUGAUACUGGUGGGCUUGAGUAUGGGAGAGGAUAGUGGAAUUCCUGGUGUAGUGGUGAAAUACGUAGAUAUCAGGAGGAACACCGGUGGCGAAGGCGGCUAUCUGGCCCAAUACUGACGCUCAGGUCCGAAAGCGUGGGUAGCAAACAGG
rnacentral:rRNA from 1 species